GCAAGUCGAGCGAGAAAGUCUCCUUCGGGAGAUGAGUAGAGCGGCGCACGGGUGAGUAACGCGUGGAUAAUCUACCUUUAGGAUUGGGAUAACAGUUGGAAACGGCUGCUAAUACCGGAUACGCUGCAUAUUUAUUUAUGUGGGAAAGAUGGCCUCUACUUGUAAGCUAUCACCUAAAGAUGAGUCCGCGUUCCAUUAGCUUGUUGGUGGGGUAAAGGCCUACCAAGUCGAUGAUGGGUAGCCGAGCUGAGAGGCUGAUC
rnacentral:rRNA from 1 species